GUCGAACGGACUCAUAUUGAAACCUAGUGAUUUAUGAGUUAGUGGCGCACUUGGUGAGUAACGCGUGGAUAACCUGCCGUAUACCGGGGGAUAACACUUAGAAAUAGGUGCUAAUACCGCAUAAGCGCACGGCUCCGCAUGGGGCAGUGUGAAAAACUCCGGUGGUAUACGAUGGAUCCGCGUCUGAUUAGCUAGUUGGCGGGGUAACGGCCCACCAAGGCAGCGAUCAGUAGCCGGCCUGAGAGGGUGGACGGCCACAUUGGGACUGAGACACGGCCCAAACUCCUACGGGAGGCAGCAGUGGGGAAUAUUGCACAAUGGGGGAAACCCUGAUGCAGCGACGCCGCGUGAGUGAAGAAGUAUCUCGGUACGUAAAGCUCUAUCAGCAGGGAAGAAAAUGACGGUACCUGACUAAGAAGCCCCGGCUAACUACGUGCCAGCAGCCGCGGUAAUACGUAGGGGGCAAGCGUUAUCCGGAUUUACUGGGUGUAAAGGGAGCGUAGACGGCAGCACAAGUCUGGAGUGAAAUCCCGGGGCUUAACCCCGGAACUGCUUUGGAAACUGUGCGGCUGGAGUGCAGGAGGGGUAAGCGGAAUUCCUAGUGUAGCGGUGAAAUGCGUAGAUAUUAGGAGGAACACCGGUGGCGAAGGCGGCUUACUGGACUGUAACUGACGUUGAGGCUCGAAAGCGUGGGGAGCAAACAGGAUUAGAUACCCUGGUAGUCCACGCCGUAAACGAUGAUUACUAGGUGUCGGGGGAUCAAGGUCCUCCGGUGCCGGCGCAAACGCAUUAAGUAAUCCACCUGGGGAGUACGUUCGCAAGAAUGAAACU
rnacentral:rRNA from 1 species